UACGUAGGGAGCGAGCGUUGUCCGGAAUUACUGGGUGUAAAGGGAGCGUAGGCGGGCGAGAAAGUUGAAUGUUAAAUCUACCGGCUUAACUGGUAGCUGCGUUCAAAACUUCUUGUCUUGAGUGAAGUAGAGGCAGGCGGAAUUCCUAGUGUAGCGGUGAAAUGCGUAGAUAUUAGGAGGAACACCAGUGGCGAAGGCGGCUUACUGGACCGUAACUGACGUUGAGGCUCGAAAGCGUGGGGAGCAAACAGG
rnacentral:rRNA from 1 species